rnacentral:rRNA from 1 species
UACGUAGGGGGCGAGCGUUGUCCGGAAUCAUUGGGCGUAAAGCGCGUGUAGGCGGCCCGGUAAGUCCGCUGUGAAAGUCCAGGGCUCAACCCUGGGAUGCCGGUGGAUACUGUCGGGCUCGAGUCCGGAAGAGGCGAGUGGAAUUCCUGGUGUAGCGGUGAAAUGCGCAGAUAUCGGGAGGAACACCAAUUGCGAAGGCAGCUCGCUGGGACGUCACUGACGCUGAGACGCGAAAGCGUGGGGAGCAAACAGG